ACAUAACAAAACUACUUCUUCAUAUUUGCCUUCAAAAAUGCAUGUUUUAUUUUAUGGUAUGAUUAUUAAAUUCGAUACAUUUUAUUUGAAAUCUUACAAAAAAUAGAAAAGAAAUCUUAAUUUGAAACCUGUGGAUGCUAUAUGAUAUUCUCAAGCUCCAUCAAGAAUUUCUUUUUCUUCUUCUUCUUUCUUUCUUCUUUUUUUCCGCUGCUAUGUGAAGUUGAAACUGCUCCCACCACCAUUAGCCUAUUAGUCACCAUCUACAGACUACAGUAACGGGAAAGUAGUCCCUGACCGAAAGCCAACUCAGUUCCAUUCAUUUUCUCAAGUUCUGACACAUCAAAGUCAACUCAUACUUACAACUCUAAAUCUAAUCUCCACCAUAAAUUCCCUUUCCCUUCCACCCAAAUGCCCAACUGCACCCACCACUGCCAUCUUCCAUUCCUUUUAACCAUAUCUCUAAAUCUUCCUUUUUCCUCCUCCCUAGUAGUUUUAGCAUAUAUGUAUCUUACUUUCCUAUUGAUUCUUGAAGGAAUACCCAAAAGUAAGCAGAUGUAAGGAAUAAAAAGUAAAGGAAAAUAGAAAAGAUGCCACCUAGUUUAAAAGGUUAUGGUUAAUAGUUAUGACACAUCGCUUUGUGGCCAAGGCCGCCACCAGAUAUGUCCUCCCAUGGAUGUGUGGCAGUGGCAGUGGCAGUGUUUAUAGAUCUCACCAGUAGAGGUAGGUAUCACGUUUGGUGUAAACUAUUUUUAUACAUUUAUUUCUGCGUCCUAAUUAUAAAAAUUCUUAAAAUUCCUUUUUAUUAAUCUAAAAUUCUACCAAAUUCAUAUAUUUUCAAAUGAAUUUCUACAUUUACGGGAUUAUUAUUAUUUUUAUCACGCAUAAUUAUUUUUGUUUUAAAUUUUCUCUCUCAUUCCUUUAUUUAUUUGUUUAUCUUUUUCUCUCUUUAAAUUUUAAUCUAUUUUUUAAAUAAUAUUAUAUAUUAUUAUCAAAUAAAAAAAAUUAAGAUUUAGUUCAAUUGUGUGCUAUGAAAAAUAAUAGAUUUGAGUCAACUCCUUCAUAUUAAUUGAAUUUUUCUUUUUAUAUUGAAUGUAAGAGAAUGACUAUUUUUAUUGUACUAUUUUGAAUACGUUGAAUCUAGCAUAAAUUAAACAAAGUGACAUUUAUAAUAAAUUUUAUUGAUAUUAAAUGAAUUAGAUUAGUGCAAUACAGUUGAAUUAGAGAAAGAACAAGCUGAGUAGGCUGCCAGAGAUUAAGGAAAGGAAAGAGGCAACAUCUGUACGUGUAAUAUGUGUGGAUCCAACGUGGAUGGCUAAUCUUUGAUAUAUAAGGUCCGCCACCGCCAGCAAAUUUCUUCAAUAACUUUACUGAAACUGCGCUGCCUUUGUUAGAAACAAAAACUAAUGUUUGUUGUAUUCAAUUCAAAACUAAUAAUGAUAUUCUCGAAAAAAAUCAGCCGUCGUUUUAGCUGUAGAGUUCUUCUU
rnacentral:lncRNA from 1 species